AGCAAACAGGAUUAGAUACCCUGGUAGUCCACGCCGUAAACGAUGUCGACUUGGAGGUUGUGCCCUUGAGGCGUGGCUUCCGGAGCUAACGCGUUAAGUCGACCGCCUGGGGAGUACGGCCGCAAGGUUAAAACUCAAAUGAAUUGACGGGGGCCCGCACAAGCGGUGGAGCAUGUGGUUUAAUUCGAUGCAACGCGAAGAACCUUACCUGGUCUUGACAUCCACAGAACUUUCCAGAGAUGGAUUGGUGCCUUCGGGAACUGUGAGACAGGUGCUGCAUGGCUGUCGUCAGCUCGUGUUGUGAAAUGUUGGGUUAAGUCCCGCAACGAGCGCAACCCUUAUCCUUUGUUGCCAGCGGUCCGGCCGGGAACUCAAAGGAGACUGCCAGUGAUAAACUGGAGGAAGGUGGGGAUGACGUCAAGUCAUCAUGGCCCUUACGACCAGGGCUACACACGUGCUACAAUGGCGCAUACAAAGAGAAGCGACCUCGCGAGAGCAAGCGGACCUCAUAAAGUGCGUCGUAGUCCGGAUUGGAGUCUGCAACUCGACUCCAUGAAGUCGGAAUCGCUAGUAAUCGUGGAUCAGAAUGCCACGGUGAAUACGUUCCCGGGCCUUGUACACACCGCCCGUCACACCAUGGGAGUGGGUUGCAAAAGAAGUAGGUAGCUUAACCUUCGGGAGGGCGCUUACCACUUUGUGAUUCAUGACUGGGGUGAAGUCGUAACAAGGUAACCGUAGGGGAACCUGCGGUUGGAUCAC
rnacentral:rRNA from 1 species